ACUCAAAGGAAUUGACGGGGGCCCGCACAAGCGGUGGAGCAUGUGGUUUAAUACGUCACUAACCGUAGAACCUUACCAGGGCUUGACAUCCAGCGCACCACUAUGAAAGUAGUGUCCGGAGCAAUCCGGCGCUGAGACAGGUGUUGCAUGGCUGUCGUCAGCUCGUGUCGUGAGAUGUUGGGUUAAGUCCCGCAACGAGCGCAACCCUCAUCCCAUGUUGCCAACAGGUGAAGCUGGGAACUCUUGGGAAACUGCCGGGGUAACUCGGAGGAAGGUGAGGAUGACGUCAAGUCAGCAUGGCCCUUACGCCCUGGGCUACACACAUGCUACAAUGGACGGUAGACAGAGGGAUCCGAGAUCGCGAGAUGGAGGCAAUCCCACAAAUCCGUUCUCAGUUCGGAUUGCAGGCUGCAACUCGCCUGCAUGAAGUCGGAAUCGCUAGUAACCGCAGAUCAGCGAAGCUGCGGUGAAUACGUUCCCGGGCCUUGUACACACCGCCCGU
rnacentral:rRNA from 1 species